AUUGAACGCUGGCGGCAUGCCUUACACAUGCAAGUCGAACGGCAGCACGGGAGCAAUCCUGGUGGCGAGUGGCGAACGGGUGAGUAAUAUAUCGGAACGUGCCCAGUCGUGGGGAUAACGUAGCGAAAGCUACGCUAAUACCGCAUACGAUCUACGGAUGAAAGCGGGGGAUCGCAAGACCUCGCGCGAUUGGAGCGGCCGAUAUCAGAUUAGGUAGUUGGUGAGGUAAAGGCUCACCAAGCCGACGAUCUGUAGCUGGUCUGAGAGGACGACCCAGCCACACUGGGACUGAGACACGGCCCAGACUCCUACGGGAGGCAGCAGUGGGAAUUUGGACAAUGGGCGCAAGCCUGAUCCAGCAAUGCCGCGUGCAGGAUGAAGGCCUGGUGUAAC
rnacentral:rRNA from 1 species